rnacentral:lncRNA from 1 species
AAGUCAUCAAUAAAUUCCUUUACUAUUUAGAGAUUAUCCAUAAGUUCUGUGACUCUAGAGAACCCUGACUAAUACACCAGGCAUGGACACCAGUGGAGCAAUGGGAACACUAACCUACUCACAAAACUUUCAACCCAAAAUUUAUCCUGUCUACAAGAAAUGUAAGGAUGGUGAUGGAGCAGAGACUGAGGGAAUGGCCAAGCAAUAACUGGCCAACUUGAGGCCCAUCCCAUGGGCAAGCACUAAUCCCUGACACUAUUAAUGAUACUCUGUUAUGCUUGCAGACAGGAGCCAAGCAUAACUGUCCUCUGAAAGGUUCCACCCAGCAACUGACUGAAACAGAUGUUGAGGCUCACAGAUUAACAUUGGAUGGAGCUUGGGGACUCUUAUGGAGGGCUUGGGGGAAGAAUUGAGGGCCCUGAAGGGAAAGAGAACUCCACAGGAAGACUAACAACAGAAUCAAUUAACCUGGACCCUUGGGGGCUCUCAGAGACUGACCAGCAAACAAAGAACAUACACAGGCUGGACCAAAUCCCCCACAUGUGUGGGAGAUUUGGUCUUCAUGUGGGUCCCCCAACAGCUGGAGCGAGACUGUCCCUAGAGAUGUUGCCUAUCUGUAGACUACAUCCCCCUAGCUGGGCUGCCUUGUCUAGCCUCAGUUGGAGAGGAUGCACCUGGCCCUGUGGAGAUUUCAUGUGCCAGUGUGGAGUGAUACCCAAGGGUGACCUCCACUCUCUCAGAGGAGAAGGGGAGGGAAGAUGGGGGCAGGGACUGUGUGAGGGGUGACCAGGAUGGAGGGAAGCAAUCGGGAUAUAAAGUGAAUUUUUAAAAACUAGUGUAAUGAUGUGUCCUCCUAGCUCACUAAGAGUGAAAUCCCCGUGAAUCUCCCUUUGGUGGCUGGCUGGUCAGUUCACAACUAGUGAACUAGCUAGUGAGGUGCUAGUGGUGGGGGGUGCACACCCAGACCCUGGAGAGCUUUGUUUAAGUGUACUUGUUGAUUUUUCAUUCUAAAGCUGUUAUCUCUUCCAUACUCCUUCACAUUUGCUCUUCCUGUGUCUGCUCCAUCUUUAUAAAGGACACUACCUCUUGAUGACUCUGGUUGUCAUCCUUAUAUGGCCUUUGCUUUCACCCUGCCAUCCUCCAUCAAUCAUAGCCAACUGAAUGAUAUGUUCUUGACUGCCUUCAGAAUGCAGCUUCAGAAUCCCGCCACGUCUUAGCCUCUUGCACUAUGAACAUUUUGGCCGACAUCAGCAAUUCCUGGAGCCAGGUACAUUUCUGGAUGGCACUCACAACUCCAUUCUUGCCCUAUUGUACCCUUUAAUAUUUUAACUGUACCAUAUUAUCCACUGAUAUUUUUAAAUCCUGUGAUGGCUUUUCAUAUUCAAGAUGAACUGCCAGCCCUUUGCCACAGCCUUCGCACCCUGCACAAGCCAGUCCCCCUCUGUUCCUUUUGGCCUUGCUGUUUCUUCAUCCUCCUGUCCUGUCUCUUCGUGCACUCGAUCUGCUCAUUGCCACCCUCCUGUAGCCUCUACUCAGCUCUCUAGGAUCCUGGUUUCUCACUUUCAAACUCUUAAAUUCUGCGGAGUUCAGAGCAACACUCAAAGGGAAGAAUGCAACCAUAUCUGUUUAUCAAUUGACAAUUCAUAGAAACAGAUGAGCUUGGGGAUUGGUAGACACUGUUCUUAUUUACAAUGGGGAAACUAUUUCUGGGAGCAUACUUGCAAAGUUGUCCCUCCUCUAAUGAGAGAAUCCACAUAUUCAAUAUUUUAGAGAUGUUUAUAGACAAAACUGAGAAAUUUCCCCUGGCUCUCUUACUCCCUGUGCCUACUCAGCAAACAUGGCUGUUGUGGCACUAACAUGCACCAAAGACUAGAGAAUGGCCCCUUAGCUCUUAUUGCCCAGUCCCAGGUGAACUUUUCAGUUAUUUAGGGCUCCCUGAGCUUCACCUUAUCUUUUCUCAGACCCACUCUGCUCAGCAGGAACCCUUAGAUGUCUGAGCAAGUCAGUUUGCUGGGGCAAAAUACCUGAUAGAAAGUAGGGAGAAGGACUGGCAAGAUGGCUCAGUGGUUAAGACCACCGACUGCUCUUCCAAAGGUCCCGAGUUCAAAUCUCAGCAACCACAUGGUGGCUCACAACCAUCCAUAACGAAAUCUGAUGCCCUCUUCUGGAGUAUCUGAGGACAGCUACAGUGUA